AGUGAACGCUGGCGGUAGGCCUAACACAUGCAAGUCGAACGGCAGCACAGGAGAGCUUGCUCUCUGGGUGGCGAGUGGCGGACGGGUGAGGAAUACAUCGGAAUCUGCCCAGUCGUGGGGGAUAACGUAGGGAAACUUACGCUAAUACCGCAUACGACCUUCGGGUGAAAGAGGGGGAUCGCAAGACCUCUCGCGAUUGGAUGAGCCGAUGUCGGAUUAGCUAGUUGGCGGGGUAAUGGCCCACCAAGGCGACGAUCCGUAGCUGGUCUGAGAGGAUGAUCAGCCACACUGGAACUGAGACACGGUCCAGACUCCUACGGGAGGCAGCAGUGGGGAAUAUUGGACAAUGGGCGCAAGCCUGAUCCAGCCAUACCGCGUGGGUGAAGAAGGCCCUCGGGUUGUAAAGCCCUUUUGUUGGGAAAGAAAUCUUUCAGGCUAAUACCCUGGGAGGAUGACGGUACCCAAAGAAUAAGCACCGGCUAACUUCGUG
rnacentral:rRNA from 1 species